rnacentral:misc_RNA from 1 species
GAGGAGGUCUCGUUAAGGGGAAUCCCAGUUGAGAGAGUUGUUCGCACUUUACUCGCAUAGGGAGACAGAUUAGAGAGUAGAGAGAAUGGCAGAAACCAAUACUGUCCAUUCACCGAUCGUCACUUAUGCUUCGAUGCUUUCACUUCUGGCUUUCUGCCCUCCCUUUGUUAUUUUGCUAUGGUACACAAUGGUUCAUGCUGAUGGCUCAGUUUCCCAAACAUGGGAUUUCUUGAAGCAACAUGGGUUGCAGGGAUUUAUAAACAUAUGGCCAAGACCCACUGCUUUAGCAUGGAAAAUAAUUGCUUGUUAUGCAGCGUUUGAGGCUGCACUUCAGCUUCUUUUGCCUGGAAAAAGGGUUGAGGGUCCAAUUUCUCCUCAAGGGAACCGGCCGAUUUACAAGGCAAAUGGUGUGGCAGCAUAUAUAGUAACAUUGGUCACCUAUCUAGGCCUUUGGUGGUGAGAACAUUUAUCACUACACUAGUUGUGUUUAAACACUGCAAUAUGAUUCAUGGCUCCUUUCAGGAAGGUUCAUAAUCAAUGAGAUUUUCUUUUAGUUUUUGCAAGUAGCUAUUGCUGUACCUAUGAUUUUUGGAAACCAAAAGGCAAGGAUGUGCAGCUAAUUAUUGGUAUUGCAUGUCAUUUGUGGUGCCUAAUGCAUUAGAGAUACUAAGGGAUUGAGACAAAUUGAUGUAUGAUAUGCUUCAUGUUGUUUGUAAAGGAAAUGUCUCAGGAACUAGUUAGUGAUUUAUAUAUAUUUUGUUAGGAUAUUACCAAGUAAAGCCCUUUUGACAUGAUUACUGAGUGGCAUAUAUAGACAAAUAUUAUCACUAUUUUGAGUUAAUACUUUUCUGUAUAUUUUUCUGCAGGUUUGGGAUAUUCAACCCCUCAAUCGUUUAUGAUCAUUUGGGAGAAAUAUUUUCAGCUCUGAUUUUCGGAAGCUUCUUCUUCUGUGUUUUCUUGUACAUAAAGGGUCAUGUGGCACCAUCAUCAACUGAUUCUGGUUCAUGUGGAAACAUAAUAAUGGAUUUCUAUUGGGGUAUGGAGCUGUAUCCUCGAAUUGGGAAGAACUUUGACAUCAAAGUUUUCACAAACUGUAGAUUUGGUAUGAUGGCUUGGGCAGUUCUGGCGUUGACCUACUGCAUUAAGCAGUAUGACCAGAAUGGCAAAGUAGCUGAUUCCAUGUUUGUAAAUACAAUAUUGAUGUUGGUGUAUGUUACAAAGUUUUUUUGGUGGGAAGCUGGGUACUGGAACACAAUGGAUAUCGCGCAUGAUCGAGCUGGAUUUUAUAUUUGUUGGGGAUGUCUGGUAUGGGUUCCAUCUCUAUAUACUUCUCCUGGCAUGUACCUCGUCAACCAUCCUGUGAACCUUGGAACUCAGCUUGCAAUUUACAUAUUAGUGGCAGGCAUUCUCUGCAUAUAUAUCAACUAUGAUUGUGACAGACAAAGGCAAGUAUUUCGCAGAACAAAUGGCAAAUGUACGGUUUGGGGAAAGGCUCCAUCAAAGAUUGUAGCUUCAUACACCACAUCAUCUGGGGAAACAAAGAGCAGCCUUCUUUUAACCUCUGGAUGGUGGGGCUUAUCUCGUCAUUUCCAUUAUGUUCCCGAAAUAUUAGCUGCUUUUUUCUGGACCGUCCCAGCUCUUUUUAAUCAUUUUCUGCCCUACUUCUAUGUGAUAUUUCUUACCAUCCUCCUUUUUGAUCGAGCUAAGAGGGAUGAUGAUCGAUGUCGAUCUAAGUAUGGGAAGUACUGGAAAUUGUAUUGUGAGAAGGUUCCCUAUCGAAUCAUUCCUGGAAUCUACUGAGGGGCAAAUUGCAUUGAAUCUACUUGGUCAUUGUAAGAGGUACCUGUUGGAUGUAAUAAUAUUAAUGCUAGGACUCUUUUUAAGCAAUGUAAGUGCCUUUUUGAAGUUGACAUAACUACAUUAGGCGUGUUAAGAUUUUUGAUGUAUAACGUGCGACCUUUAUUGUUGAGUUUAAUCUCAUGUUUGUUGUGAGAGUAAGGAAGGAUUAUAUCUCAAGUGGACUGGAGAUCACGACUUUUUA